AGCAGGUCUCCAAGGUGA
rnacentral:piRNA from 2 species